AUUCCAUGAUAAGGGCAUUUCCGUAAUAGCUCUUUGUAUCGUUCCUAUGCCUCAUACAUGGACUCAUCAUCCAUCUGUUGGAAAGAAGUGAUCUCGUUCCUUAACGU
rfam:Gossypium arboreum cultivar AKA8401 contig_51656_3, whole genome shotgun sequence.